CUAAUGGUGUCAGUUGACACCACAAAAAUAAUAUAAAACGUUAUG
rfam:Brassica oleracea var. oleracea cultivar TO1000 chromosome C3, whole genome shotgun sequence